UACGAAGGGGGCUAGCGUUGUUCGGAGUUACUGGGCGUAAAGGGCGCGCAGGCGGCUCUGAAAGUCAGAUGUGAAAGCCCCGGGCUUAACCUGGGAAUUGCAUUUGAUACUCUGGAGCUUGAGUACGGGAGAGGAGAGUGGAAUUCCCAGUGUAGAGGUGAAAUUCGUAGAUAUUGGGAAGAACACCGGUGGCGAAGGCGGCUCACUGGCUCAUUUCUGACGCUCAGGCGCGACAGCGUGGGGAUCAAACAGG
rnacentral:rRNA from 1 species